GAUGAACGCUGGCGGCGUGCCUAAUACAUGCAAGUCGAGCGAACGGACGAGAAGCUUGCUUCUCUGAUUUUAGCGGCGGACGGGUGAGUAACACUUGGAUAACCUACCUAUAAGACUGGGAUAACUUCGGGAAACCGGAGCUAAUACCGGAUAAUAUUUUGAACCGCAUGGUUCAAAAGUGAAAGACGGUCUUGCUGUCACUUAUAGAUGGAUCCGCGCUGCAUUAGCUAGUUGGUAAGGUAACGGCUUACCAAGGCAACGAUGCAUAGCAGACCUGAGAGGGUGAUCGGCCACACUGUAACUGAGACACGGUCCAGACUCCUACGGGAGGCAGCAGUAGGGAAUCUUCCGCAAUGUGCGAAAGCCUGACGGAGCAACGCCGCGUGAGUGAUGAAGGUCUUCGGAUCGUAAAACUCUGUUAUUAGGGAAGAACAUAUGUGUAAGUAACUGUGCACAUCUUGACGGUACCUAAUCAGAAAGCCACGGCUAACUACGUG
rnacentral:rRNA from 1 species